GUUAAAGAUAUAUUUAGUUUUUUGCCUCUACAGUAAAAUAUGUUUUUUGGUCGUUAGCAGGUUUACACUUUAAGGCGACGAUAUUAUAUUUAAAAUAU